rnacentral:rRNA from 1 species
AACCUUUAGCAUAACCAAGUAUUAAAGGCAACGCCUGCCCAGUGAACAAUUAAACGGCCGCGGUACCCUAACCGUGCAAAGGUAGCGUAAUCAUUUGUCUAUUAAUUGUAGACCUGUAUGAAAGGCAAAAUGAGGGUCUAACUGUCUCUUAUAAUUAAUCAAUUAAACUGAUCUCCCAGUACAAAAGCUGGGAUAAUAACAUAAGACCAGAAGACCCUGUGAAGCUUAAACUAAACUAUCAAACCACAUGAUAGCUAGUUUCGGUUGGGGCGACCUUGGAAACAAGCAGAACUUCCAAAUAAAUAGCACUAAUAAAUGCUAAAACUACAAGGCCAACAAGCCAACUAACGACCCAGCACCGCUGAUUAACGAAACAAGUUACUCCAGGGAUAACAGCGCCAUCUUCUUCAAGAGCCCAUAUCAAAAAGAAGGUUUACGACCUCGAUGUUGGAUCAGGACAUCCUAAUGGUGCAGCCGCUAUUAAGGGUUCGUUUGUUCAACGAUUAACAGUCCC